rnacentral:rRNA from 1 species
CGUAGGUGGCAAGCGUUGUCCGGAUUUAUUGGGUUUAAAGGGUGCGUAGGCGGCCCCGUAAGUCAGUGGUGAAAUAUCUCAGCUUAACUGAGAGGGUGCCAUUGAUACUGCGGGGCUUGAGUACAGAUGAGGUAGGCGGAAUUGACGGUGUAGCGGUGAAAUGCAUAGAUAUCGUCAAGAACUCCGAUAGCGAAGGCAGCUUACUAAGCUGUAACUGACGCUGAGGCACGAAAGUGUGGGAUCAAACAGGAUUAGAUACCCUGGUAGUCCACACUGUAAACGUUGAUGACUCGAUGUUGGCGAUACACAGCCAGCGUCCAAGAGCAAUCGUUAAGUCAUCCACCUGGGGAGUACGCCGGCAACGGUG